ACUCCUACGGGAGGCAGCAGUGGGGAAUCUUGCGCAAUGCGCGAAAGCGUGACGCAGCAACGCCGCGUGGGGGAAGAAGGCCUUCGGGUUGUAAACCCCUUUCAGUUGGGACGAAGCUUCGCCGGUGAAUAGCCGGCUGGAGUGACGGUACCUUCACAAGAAGCCCCGGCUAACUACGUGCCAGCAGCCGCGGUAAUACGUAGGGGGCUAGCGUUGUCCGGAAUCAUUGGGCGUAAAGCGCGUGUAGGCGGUCCGGUAAGUCCGCUGUGAAAGUCGGGGGCUCAACCCUCGAAAGCCGGUGGAUACUGUCGGGCUAGAGUACGGAAGAGGCGAGUGGAAUUCCUGGAGUAGCGGUGAAAUGCGCAGAUAUCAGGAGGAACACCAAUUGCGAAGGCAGCUCGCUGGGACGUUACUGACGCUGAGACGCGAAAGCGUGGGGAGCAAACAGGAUUAGAUACCCUGGUAG
rnacentral:rRNA from 1 species